rnacentral:rRNA from 1 species
UACAGAGGGGGGCAAGCGUUGUUCGGAAUUACUGGGCGUAAAGGGGUUCGUAGGUGGCCACUUAAGUCGGACGUGAAAUCCCUCAGCUUAACUGGGGAACUGCGUCUGAUACUGGGUGGCUUGAGUGCAGGAGAGGAAUGCGGAAUUCCAGGUGUAGCGGUGAAAUGCGUAGAUAUCUGGAGGAAUACCGGUGGCGAAGGCGGCAUCCUGGACCGACAUUGACGCUGAUGAGCGAAAGCUAGGGGAGCAAACGGG